rnacentral:rRNA from 1 species
GUGCCAGCAGCCGCGGUAAUACGUAGGGCGCAAGCGUUGUCCGGAAUUAUUGGGCGUAAAGAGCUUGUAGGUGGCUUGUCGCGUCUGCCGUGAAAACCCGAGGCUCAACCUCGGGCGUGCGGUGGGUACGGGCAGGCUAGAGUGUGGUAGGGGAGACUGGAACUCCUGGUGUAGCGGUGAAAUGCGCAGAUAUCAGGAAGAACACCGAUGGCGAAGGCAGGUCUCUGGGCCAUUACUGACACUGAGAAGCAAAGCAUGGUUAGCGAACAGAUUAAUACCCUGGGUAUCC